UGCCAAACACCCUGAAGUCUGCAGAAAAAUCCCACGCGGAACUGUAGAAAGACCGGGAGCUUCAGCCGUUAACUUUAAAUCGUGCUCUGCGUUACGACGAAGCCUUUUAUGAUUUUCUGUCGGCGUAAAAACUGAAUCUCGUGUGACAUAAUUAACCUCCUUCAGUCGGCGGUGGAAAGCUUCAGAUUCAGGAGAAAAAACAAAAGUCAAACCCAGAGGACAAACAGCAAGCUGUGAAACCGAUCAUUUAGAAUCGGAGAUAUUUAGAAGGUUGUUGCUCAGCAGCGAAGUCGCGUCAGGAUUCGGUGCUUCGGGUUCUCAGGUGGAGUUUUUCUGCAACUCUUUGCUUACCGCUGCAGGUGGAAGAACGAACGUCAAGUGAAGCUGAAGGAAAAAUCAUCAGCUUCCUCCUGGUUUGAAAAUCUACAAACAUCAUCUGGCAUCCAUGCAGCAAAUCCAUCCUCAACCCACUCAUCAAAAUCUAAUCAGGGAUGUACGCCUGAAACUGCAUCCAAAAAAUGCAGCAGGAAUCAGAAGCUGCAGAAGAUACAUGACGUUUCUCUGGAUGUGCAGGUGGAUCACGAUGCUCCAGUUUCAUCACAACGUUUCUGUGGUUUUUAAUGCGAACAUGAAACCAUCAAACUGCUCAUUAGCGAUUCUAAAUGUGUGGAGGUUGUUCUGGAGUUCUGGACUGGAGCCCAGCACUGAUGUCUCUUCACUGUUUCACUGGAACGUUGUUCCAGUCUCACAUUAGAGGAGUUAUUUCUCCAUGAAUUAACAAUAUAUUCAUCGGAUUUUCAUUUGAGCAGGCAAGCUGAUCGGAUAUUUAGUUAAUAAAAACGGUAAUAAGAAAAGGACUGCUAGCGAGGAACAGUCGAUGGAAUUAUUGCGGGAUAAUUAAACAUUUGCAUAAUUUGGCUUUGCUAAUUUUUAAUGAGGGAGGAAAAGCCAGAUUUAUGUAAAGCACACAGUAAAAAAUAUGAAAUCAUAUAAAAUAUACAUAUAUAGUUUCUUUAUUUUUAUUUAUAUUUAAUAUUUAUUUAUAUUUAAAAAAGUUAUAAAUAAAAUUAUAAAACAAAUAUCUAAUGUGAAAUAACAUUAAAAAUAAACUGGAAAAAACUAUAAAAUUAACAUUUUUAAUGUUUUUAAAUUAAAUUAAAAUCAAAUGCAUCGUUAAAUGCAUGUGCAGAUUUACUGGAAUUUCACAAAUAUUUUCUUCUAUAUUUUAAUUAUUAACUGAUGAUUAAAUCUGGGUUUAAAACUGUAAACAUAUUUCUAAAAUUCAAAACAAUUGCUGACGACAGAAAAAGAAAUACUGUGAGAUUUGUUUAUCUACAGAGACACGUCUGGCAUAAUUUCAUAUGUUUUUACAGCAGAAAUGUUGAAUGAAUGCGUUUUUAUUAAUGUAUAAUAUCUUGAAGCAGUGCUAAUCUGCAAAGUACAGUUUUUUAUCAUUAUAUAUUCCAUUUAUCAUGAUAUCUAUUUAUAUAAUUAUAUAAAUGUUAUACUGUAGGCAACUCCAGUGUUUAAACAUCUUUCAUUAAAUAUUAAAAAGCCAUAAAUAUAUGUUCUCGUGCAAAAAUAAAGCUGAAAAAUGUGUUUUAAUAAUAAAAAUCUUUAUUUUUUUUGAGACGGUUAUUUUCGGUCAUUUUACAGAACUGUUUUGGCACCUCAGCUGCUGGAAAAUCUGUGUUUUUAUCUGUUGUUUUAAAAAUGCAUUGAGUUUAAAUGAAAACCAUGAAAUCAGACCUAAAAUUGACCUUUUUAUGAACUCUGUGAACUUUCCCCACUGUGGGAUCAAUAAAGUCCUUAUCCUUAA